rnacentral:lncRNA from 10 species
GGGGAGGGGGGAGGGAUUGCAUUGGGAGUUAUACCUGAUGUAAAUGACGAGUUGAUGGGUGCAGCACACCAACAUGGCACAAGUAUACAUAUGUAACAAACCUGCACGUUAUGCACAUGUACCCUACAACUUAAAGUAUAAUAAUAAUAAAUAAAUUUAUAAAAAAAAAAAAAAAGAAAAUUCUGUUGUUGGUUAGUUUCUCAUAGUUGUCAAUAAGGCUAAAAUAGUUAACAACGCUGAAUUCUUGUAUUUCUGUGUCGUUCUGCAUCUUCUGAGAAUUGUUUGUGAAGAAAGAAUUAAUUGAAUAUUUAUUGGGGAAAGUACAUAUAAAAGAUAAAGUGGGAGGGGCAGGAGAAGAUGAGGAGAGCUUUCAGAGGACAAUACAGCUCUCAGAAUAAAGAGAGAAAAAAAAAAAUAAAGAAGGGAGAUUGGGUGGAGUGAGCCUCAGAUCACUGCACCGUUCUGAGAAAGCUUAGUCCAAGCUAAUGGAUAAUUAUUGAAAAGUGCUUGCCAAUUAGAGAAUUCCUCCGCUGGGCAAGAACAACCUACGCUGAUCAUGUGAGUCAUUUACUAUCGGCACGCUGGGAGAAGUGUGGCCAUGACGCUAAUCCAACAGUGGACCUGCAGGAGCAGCGGCUGGCGAGCAUCAGUCAAUGUUUUGCACACAGGUUCUCCUGAGUGGCACUCCGUCUCCACCAGGAUGCUGUUACUGCUCCUGUAUCACCAAAGCCAAUGCCCUAAAGAUCAGAGCUGCAGACACAAAGGAAGGCCAAUGCAUGAGAAGAAAUCAGUGGGAAAGGGAGUAAGAAUCGCAGUCCCACCUUGACGGCACUCUCAGGCAAGAGGCCGUCUCUUUCGGAUGCUGUCAGGAGCACAGAGAGACUUGGGCAUAGGGUCAUUCAAAUGGCCUGAUACCAGAAAAGGGGGAAAGAUGUGCUUUCUUCAAGGAAAUGACUCCUCAGAGCACCCAGGAAGAGAAAGAUGAGAGAAGAAGGUCAGAAUCAAAGAAAUCAAAUCUGUUAUUAGGUCCAGAAGAAGAGCUCCUGACAACAGAAUCUGAUAUCAAAGGAUGAGAAACUGGGUUAAUGGUGACCAGAGCAAGAAGCAAGAAACAGAAACAAGAAGGAAAUAAGAGUGUCCAGCAUUCUCAGAGGUUCCCUUUCAUGGGUGAAACUUGCUUGGUGCUUGCACGCCUAAUUUUAAAGCCAGAGGAGCCAGUUUUCUCACAUUUAUAAUGUAAAUGUUAUAAUAUUUUUUCCUCGUGAUUAGAUUUCAGGUAACCCUGAAAAGGUAGUCAGGAAUUAGUGUCUUUCUUUUCUCCUUCCUAAUAACAUGAUUUUCUCACUAUUUGUUUUACUGGAUUAAGUUUUCUAAACUUAGCAAAACCAAGAAACUUCUAGUUCAGAUUUCACUUAACGUUUUCUUUUAAUUCAACCAUCAGAGCAAUUUCCAAGAAGCAUAAUCUGACUUAAUGAUAUUGUAAUAGUUAGCAAAGUAUCUAGAUAUUAGGCACAGAAAACAGGCUCAUUGAAUAAGCAAAUGAACUUGCGACUAUAUCAGGUUUUAAGUGACUUAAAUGGUAGUCAGAGAUUUGGCUUCAUUAGGCAGACACAGCACUUAUGUGCUACAUAGCUCUUGCUUUUAUGUGUAAGUCUGUUGAAUCAACAAAUGUGCUGAAGAAGAGAAUAAAUAUAUUGAAAUAAAUUACUAGAGUCAAACCAUUCCAUCAUUCAAAAGCACACAAAACUAAAAUAGAUGCAACACCUAUUAGGUGCCUACUGUGUGUCAGUUUAUGCCUGAAUAUGUGUGUUAACACUUAUAUCUCACAACCCUGAUGUCACUGUUACGAUAUUAUCUUCCUGUUAUGGAUGAGGAAAUUAAAACGGUGACACAGAGCCGUGAAGCCACUUGCCUUACCAACUAGCACGUGGCAGGAGCAGGUUAGAGUUCCA